AGGCCUUGACAUGCACUAGACAGACGCUGAAAGGCGUUCUCCCUUCGGGGCUGGUGCACAGGUGCUGCAUGGCUGUCGUCAGCUCGUGUCGUGAGAUGUUGCGUUAAGUCGCGCAACGAGCGCAACCCCUGUCCUUAGUUGCCAUCAUUCAGUUGGGCACUCUAGGGAGACAAACCCUCUUUGAGGGUGGGAAGGUGGGGAUGACGUCAAGUCAGGAUGGCCCUUACGGCCG
rnacentral:rRNA from 1 species